UUUAAGAGAUGAUUAGGUCACAAGGCCUCUCCCUCAUGAGUGAAUUAAUGCCAUUAUUGUAGGAGUGGGUUAAUUGUUGCAGGACUGGUGUACCUAAUAAAGGGUGAGUUUCUCCUCUCUGCCCCAAUGUGUGCUCUCUUUCCCUUCCACCGUCUGCCAUGGAAUAAUGCAUCAAGAAGUUCCUUGCCAGAGAUGUGGCUCUGGGGGAAAUCUUCUAGAGAUCCCUGCCUCCAUGUCCCCAAAACAGAAAUUUCAGAGACCAGUUAUCCUUUGUCUUCUCUAAGCAGCUGGUGUUUUUAAAAGAAGACCAUGUGAAGCCACUGACAGACACACAAGGAGAGCCACAUAAUGACAGAGACAGAAGUUGGAGAGAUGUGUCCACAAAUGUAGGAAUGCCAGCAACCACCAGAUGCUGACAGAGGCAAGGAAAGA
rnacentral:lncRNA from 1 species